rfam:Flavobacterium segetis strain DSM 19741 genome assembly, contig: Ga0131139_105
UUAAAUUCUGCGUGAGGGAUAGCAGUGAAAAUCCUUUUUGUAUCGUUGAUAAACGAGAUAAAAAGAUUGUAACGAAUAGCCCGACCCGAC